UGUUCAGUUUGAACUUGAUCUUCACCAUGUCUACACGACUAGAUGUGCUGAGUUGCUGCUAUGUGAUUGGCUGGUUAGAUAUUCGUUUUAUUAAUCGAGAAGGUGAACCUAAU